rnacentral:rRNA from 1 species
CUACGGGAGGCAGCAGUGGGGAAUAUUGCACAAUGGGCGAAAGCCUGAUGCAGCGACGCCGCGUGAGGGAUGGAGGCCUUCGGGUUGUAAACCUCUUUCGCUCAUGGUCAAGCCGCAACAUUGGUUGUGGUGAGGGUAGUGGGUAAAGAAGCGCCGGCUAACUACGUGCCAGCAGCCGCGGUAAUACGUAGGGCGCGAGCGUUGUCCGGAAUUAUUGGGCGUAAAGGGCUUGUAGGCGGUUGGUCGCGUCUGCCGUGAAAUCCUCUGGCUUAACUGGGGGCGUGCGGUGGGUACGGGCUGACUUGAGUGCGGUAGGGGAGACUGGAACUCCUGGUGUAGCGGUGGAAUGCGCAGAUAUCAGGAAGAACACCGGUGGCGAAGGCGGGUCUCUGGGCCGUUACUGACGCUGAGGAGCGAAAGCGUGGGGAGCGAACAGG